rnacentral:rRNA from 1 species
GGUGUCCGAGUUGUAAUCUCUAGAAGUGUUUUCCGCGUUGGACCGCACACAAGUCUGUUGGAAUACAGCGGCACAGUGGUGAUACCCCCGUACACGGUGCGGACGCCCAGCGCUUUGUGAUACACUUUCAAUGAGUCGAGUUGUUUGGGAAUGCAGCUCAAAUUGGGUGGUAAAUUCCAUCUAAAGCUAAAUAUUGGCGAGAGACCGAUAGCGAACAAGUACCGUGAGGGAAAGAUGAAAAGCACUUUGGAAAGAGAGUUAACAGUACGUGAAAUUGUUGGAAGGGAAACGCUUGAAGUCAAACUUGCUUGCCGGAGCUUGCUUCGGUUUGCAGGCCAGCAUCAGUUUUCUGGGGUGGAUAAUGGCGGUUUGAAGGUAGCAGUCUCGUGCUGUGUUAUAGCUUUCCGCUGGAUACAUCCUGGGGGACUGAGGAACGCAGCGUGCUUUUAGCGAAGG